UAGUUUGUAGGUGUCAAGCGUUAUCCGGAAUUAUUGGGCGUAAAGCGCGCGUAGGCGGUUUUUUAAGUCUGAUGUGAAAGCCCACGGCUCAACCGUGGAGGGUCAUUGGAAACUGGAAAACUUGAGUCCGAGAGGAAAGUGGAAUUCCAUGUGUAGCGGUGAAAUGCGCAGAGAUAUGGAGAACACCAGUGCGAAAUGAAGGUCU
rnacentral:rRNA from 1 species